UGCCCCAGCUGUCUGAGGGUGGGGCUCUCCCCUGCUCUGGGAGGGGCUGUGGAAGAGAAGGAGGAGGAAGCGGAGACCUCUCCAGUCCGUCCUGGAGCCAGUAGGGAAGCGGCUGUUGUGGCAAAGCCCAGCGGAAGAAAGGCCAGAGGGACACGAGGUCCGGGCUGCUCUCGGGCUGCUGAGUGCUGUCUCCGUGGCCGACUGACCGUGUCAUCAUUCAGCUGACCUGCCCUGCACCCUCCAGCCCCAGAAACCGUGGGCUCACGGACCCUGGCUCAGCGUGCUGCCGUCCCUUGAAGACACCGGGCUUGCAUUCCAGAGACGAGGAGCCACCGAGGGACAGCAGCCAGGCCCUGAGAUGAACAUCGCAGGAAGACAGCCCAGGUUUAUCUUACGGAGUUUUGGGACCAGGCUCCGGGCUUCCGUGUGUGGCAAACACCCAGAGGAUGUGCUGGAGGCCCCGGGGUGCCUGCCCGCCGCUCUCAGGUCCUGCCGGAGGACCGGACAGAGGGCGGCUACGUGGUUUCCAGCGAACAUUCACCGUCGGUGUUACCGCUAACACCUGCCUCUCCCCGCCAGCGCCACCGCGUCUCCCACCGAGGGGCAGAGGGACGUUUCCUGGCUCCGCUUCCCCCAAGCAUCCGGUGGCUGGAGAUUCCCUAUUUACGCGGUGCUCCUGACCGGCAGGUGUGCUCUGGGAUUGGUGCCCACAGGUGGCCUUGCAGGUGCCUGGCGUCCCCUCCCCCUGUCCCCACCGCCCCCCUGGGCUCCCCCAAGGGCUCGCUGCCCUCUGCCCGCCCUCUGCCCGCCCUCUGCCCGCCCCACACGCGCACCUGAUGGGCUCCUGGUCUUCUUUGUCUUCCUUGCUCUGUGCCACCCUGAUGCCACUUUUCUUUGCUCUCGGGCAACCUGAAAGACUAAAGAAGGGACACAGCCUCAGGACGCGUCCGCCCUGGCGUGGGCAGGUCCCUCCCCGCUGUCACUGCUCAGAUUCUGUCUCUCCAGAAGCUGGAGCUGCUCCCCGUGAACACAAAAUUAUUCCGGGAGGAGGGACCUUCCGGGAACGGCCCCGCGUGUGCUCUCCAAGUCUUUAGACCCUGUCAGUCCCCCGGCGAGGGGGAGCACUGGGUGGCCGGGAACACCAGAGAGAAGCUGGGUGGCGGGCCCAGAAGAGGGGUACCGCUGAGGAGAAAACACGCUCCUUCCGUCUCUUCCUCGGCGACCUGUUGUCUGCAGCCCGCGGCCCGGGCCCUGCCAUGUGGGGACAAUGACACCCGGUGGUCUGAUUCCUCUCAAGUACAGACUUACUGUGAGGCUGCAGAAGGUGCAGAGGAAGUUGAACAUGAUUAUUUUAUUCAGUCGUCAAAAUUUUGGAAAUAGAAGCUCACGCUUAUCUAAAGGAAGACUUCCGGCUGGAACAGAAAACUACUCAUACGUGUCUGAUCAUGCACGUGGGCCAACAUGUAUGAACUGCACACGUGCUAACUUGCAUGAGUGUGUACACGGGCUAACAAUAGGCUGUGAUAUGAGAUUGUGCACGAGAACGUACAGAAUAAAUGCGAUUCUUGUGCAAAGACUGAAAAACCAGAAACUAGGCCAUUUACGGAGACGCGGGGACACACGGGCGCAGACUCGUCCGGUGCCAACGCGCGGCCGUGGCCCAGGUGGGUACCCGUCACUCCUCCUCCGUUCCUGAGCUUGUGCCGUGCUUCCCGGUCAGUCCUGGCUGACCACGCUGAGUCUCAGGGUCCCCUCACCCAUCGCUGCGCUCUGCCCCCCCAGCAUCUUCCCUCCUUUCCUCUCGGGUGAGAAGCAGCACCCCACAGGCAGAGGGCGGGUGCUGGGGUUGGGGCUUCGGGCCCCGGCGCUGCCCCCUCCUGUCUCCGUCGCCAGGUGUCCCAACCCCUCUGGAACGUGGCCCGUCUGCUACGUCACCGUCUCCUUUAAUAGGAAUGUGGGAAAGACGAGAUGUGCCCGGAUCCUCUCCCUCCUGCUGCCUCUGGUCCUCCGUUUCAAGGUAAAAACUUGGAAAGCGGGUGUGUCGCUCCGUGGCCGUCCCCACUGCCGUCCAGCUCUGAUCUCUUGCCAGGAAGAGCGCUCUUUCCGGUCACCAAGAUCCGGAGCCGGAGGGCGCCCCUGGCCUCUUGCAGGCGAUGCUCCUCCGAGUCUGUUGGCAGCCUCGGCGUCUGGAGGGCCUGUGUCCCGGGAGGUCGGUGUCGUGUGCUGCCCUCGCUCAAUUGAGGCCUGAGCUCACACGUCCCUCGUGCUCCUGAGCCCCCGCCAGGCCCUCUCCCCGCACGUCCUUCCCUUCCGGCAGAGCUCUCCUGAGCCCUCUGCCAUCCACGACAAAACUCAAGCCGUGCGUCCUAGGACUCCUGGUCACGUCUCUUUGGGCGACGCCCUUCAUUCCCUCUAAAGGUUAAACUCCUCGCCCUCAGUUCCCUCCACGUCUCGUGUGCUCCUCUCCGUGGAUGGCAUCGGCGUCUGCUCCCCGGCCCGAGACGCAACUGAGCUCAUCCUUGGCCUUACUUGCCAGGGGUCCUGCUGGUUUUACGUCCCCCGUGUCUUCGGAACCAUCCCCCUCUGCCUCCACGACGCCGUGUCGGGACGGGCUGGCGUCAGCUCCGAGCUGUGUUGAGCCGCUCCAUUUAGGACCUUCCGGUGGCCCACCACCAAACGCCUCGCCGUGGGCACCGUGGGCCAGCCCCGCCCCCAGUGUCUGCCGGCUCUCCCGCCUGGCGCACGCCUGCGCCCUCGCACGCUCUUCCGGCGCCACUGUCCCCGCCGUCUGCUGGCGGGCACAUCCCUCAAGGCGUGUUCCUGGGUGUGGGCACCCUUCUGACAACCCGCCCUGGGAGCCCGCGGGGCCCCAUCCCCUGCGGGUGUCACUCGCGCUGUGCUGGAAGCUGUCCGCCCACCCACCACGGGCUGCCGAGCCGCGAGUUCCAGGGGCGCGAGAGCCAUGUGCUCGGUCGCCCGCGUCCAGUCCCACGCCGUGUGUCCAGCCGGGGGUCUGCGUGUGCCUGCGGCCCUUCCUGGCUUGGAUCCGGGGUCCUGCGGCCCGCGUCGCUUCCUCCCGCCAGCGGCCAUCCCCUCCUGGAUGUUCCCGUUCCUUCCGAACGCGGCUUUCGGGUCCUCCCUGCGCGGUUUCCUCACGUGCAGUCAGGACACAAAUACUAGUCCUGUAGGACAGCGAGACCACGCAGGCAACGUGUACAGCCAUGCUCGUGGUACAUAGCACGUGCUCGACACAUGCAACCUUUGCCAUCAGAGAACAUUCUGGAACCCUAAGCGAGCAGCUGCUCUCUGAGCCUGGGAGGCUGUCCUGGGGAGCCAGAGUCACGUGGUGGCUUGUGACAGCGCAAGGCUUUGGCACUCUUGCUGCAUGUGAGCCAUGGCAGGUCACAGGGAUGCUGGGACCACGCUGGGUGGGGGUGGGGGGGCCGCUGCGCUGGCAGGAAACAGCCGGCCUGGGAAGGGCCAGCUCGAGCCAUGGAUCCUUGUUGUCCUUGUGGACAGGGCCGUGGUCUCUGUGGACCCCUCCAGCCUCACCUGGCAGACGCGGUCCCUCUUGUCACUGAGGACCGAGGGAGGCAGCACAUGUGACGGUGGGCUGGGUUGUUUUUUUUUUUUUCUUUUUUUAAGUUUAUUUAUUUUGAGAGAGAGGGAGAGACAGAGAAUACCAAGCAGGGGCUCGAACUCGAACUCAAAAACCGUGAGAGCAGAACCUGAGCUGAAAUCAAGAGUCAGACGCUUAACCGACCGAGCCCUCCAGGCGUCCGGUUUGUUUUGAUUGUUUUGUUGUUGACGGAACCCCAGAGACCGCCAGCAAAUAUGGAUUGUGCUGAAUUCAGGGAAGCGUCAGAGCUGGUGCAGAGAUGAGAAAAUCGCACCAUGAAAACGCAAAUGGAGUGUGCACAGGCCAGAACCUCUCCCACCCAGAGCCGGGACUGGGCGACCUUCUGGGCGGGGAGGUGGCCAACUCUGAACCUGUUUCCUCCGUGCGAGAGGACACGACCUCACCUAACACCGGCGUGGCCCUGCGAGCCGUGGAGGACAGCGCACUGUCCCCGGCUCCCGGCUGAGAGGGGCACCUGGCCUCUGUGCCCCAGUCAGGAGGGCGGCCGGCCCACAGCAACGCCCCAGGCAGGGCCUGACCGCGUGCUUUCCCUGGAGAGGGAGGGGGGCUCGGCGUCCACGGCCCCCAUUCUGGGCCCCUGCUUCCUGGGAGACCCGGGACGGCAGGAGGGCUGCGUGGGCUCACGGCUGCCUGAGUUGUGGCACCGUUUUAAAGACGUUUUCUCUGUUGUUUGCUCAUCGGUAACAUUCCUCGCGUCCCUGGGAAGCGACCCUGGACGGUUAACCCCGAAAGCAGGUUCUCUCCUUGUGUUUGGGCCUCGUGAGCGGCAGGCCUGGGGGCUCCACGCCAGCCUCUCCUUCCUCAGUGGCCGCCCGAGGGAGCUGCCAGCCGUGUCUGUGCUUCCCCGGGUGGUGGCCUCACCCAGUGGGACAGACGGCAUGGCCCUGUGCGCCGCUUGGACUUUCGGGGCGCUCCUGCGGGGGGCGCUGGCUGUGCUCAGCUUUGCCGGGAACCGGGUCAGAUUCACGUGCCCGGGCUUGGCUUUUCAGGAAACCUGGGCUUUAUGACAUUUUAUUCAUAGGUUUGUGCUCUGUCAAUACCCACCUCUCUAACCUAGAAGCUCAGGGGAUAAAAACGGGGAAACUGAAUUAACACAUUACGUGUCACCGAGCCCAAAGAGAGAUCAGUGGCAGAACAUGCAUUUGGACGUGGAGUGACCACCAAAUGUCCACUUUUAGCUGUGCAGACACCGUGCUGGGAGUCGUGGUCACGUGAGGACGCAGACAUUUCUUUUCAAGAUAAAUUAAAAUAAAGGGUAGCGUAGAAUGUG